rnacentral:rRNA from 1 species
CAGCAGCCGCGGGAAAACCAGCACCUCGAGUGGUCAGGAGGUUUAUUGGGCCUAAAGCAUCCGUAGCCGGUUGCAUAAGUUUUCGGUUAAAUCUAUGCGCUUAACGUAUAGGCCGCCGAAAAUACUGUGCAGCUAGGGAGUGGGAGAGGUACACGGUACUCGAUAGGAAGGGGUAAAAUCCUUUGAUCUAUUGAUGACCACCUGUGGCGAAGGCGGUGUACCAGAACACGUUCGACGGUGAGGGAUGAAAGCUGGGGGAGCAAACCGGAUUAGAUACCCCCGUAGUCCCUGUCUCUUAUAC